rnacentral:rRNA from 1 species
CUACGGGGCGCAGCAGUGGGGAAUAUUGCACAAUGGGGGAAACCCUGAUGCAGCAACGCCGCGUGGAGGAUGACACAUUUCGGUGCGUAAACUCCUUUUAUAGGUCAAGAUAAUGACGGUAGCCUAUGAAUAAGCGCCGGCUAACUCCGUGCCAGCAGCCGCGGUAAUACGGAGGGCGCAAGCGUUACUCGGAAUCACUGGGCGUAAAGAGCAUGUAGGCGGGUUAAUAAGUCAGAAGUGAAAUCCAAUAGCUCAACUAUUGAACUGCUUUUGAAACUGUUAACCUAGAGUGUGGGAGAGGUAGAUGGAAUUUCUGGUGUAGGGGUAAAAUCCGUAGAGAUCAGAAGGAAUACCGAUUGCGAAGGCGAUCUACUGGAACAUUACUGACGCUGAGAUGCGAAAGCGUGGGGAGCAAACAGGAUUAGAUACCCGGGUAGUC